UACGUAGGGGGCUAGCGUUGUCCGGAAUCAUUGGGCGUAAAGCGCGUGUAGGCGGCCCGGUAAGUCCGCUGUGAAAGUCGGGGGCUCAACCCUCGGAUGCCGGUGGAUACUGUCGGGCUCGAGUACGGAAGAGGCGAGUGGAAUUCCUGGUGUAGCGGUGAAAUGCGCAGAUAUCAGGAGGAACACCAAGUGCGAAGGCAGCUCGCUGGGACGUGACUGACGCUGAGACGCGAAAGCGUGGGGAGCAAACAGG
rnacentral:rRNA from 1 species